CCGUGGGUUAGUCUAACAAAAGACCUCAAAUUUCAAAUUUGAUGAUGGAUAUCUACCACCCAUGGG
rnacentral:tRNA from 1 species